GCCAGACUCCUGUUCCUUCAGCAUGCACAGCCAGCUCUGAGGCUGCUGCCGCCCAUCCCCUUCCAGCGCGGACGUUGUACAACGCUGUUCCACUGUGUCAGUGAAGAAUUUGCAUUCAGGAGAAACAGUGGACCACCACCCAUCCUGUGACAACUUAUGCACUGGAAGUCUGAUGUCAUGCUCCUGGUCAUUGCCCUCAAGAAGGCAUCCCAGUCUCUCCCACCAUUCUUUGCCAACACACUCUGAGGCAAGUUCUAAUGGCUCAGACAUCACUGUGACUUGUUCCUCCAGUACUUCUUGAUCUUGCAAGAAGAUGAGCAGGAAGCCCAUCCUGCACCAGACAGCUAGAAUGUUCUGAACCACAUUUUCAGAACAGAAGUGAGUGACAAGUCCCAUUUGUUUUCAUUUAACACAGCAGGUCAGUCAAAAUCACACAUAAAAUACCAUUAUGAACUAAGACAAGUAAUAAUCCAUAUUUGUCAAGCAUAAGAGGAAAACCAGUUUAAGCACUCCCUGUUUAACAAAUCCCUCCCACUAAAUUCUACCUUCUCACAAAUCUCAGGUCUAUAAAAAACCCUUGCAAAAAUGUUGGGAAUUAGUGCAGCUAAGCAAAGCAAUAGUCAUGAGCUCUUUGCUUAAGAAUGACCUGUCCUAAGCCUAUAGCAAAGCAUAUCCAGGAAGCAUUUGCUUCUGAAACCCAGUUUAUCUCAGCUGCUGGGUAAAACCACAGGGACCAGCUUUCGAGAUACUUGCGGCAAGGCCAAAAUUAUAAAAUAACUCAGAUCCAAGCUUGAACUACACCUGGAUAAAAGUGGGAACUAGCAGUGUUUACAGAGCUGUGUGCUCCUUGAACACACAAGUACAGAAACUAAACUUGAUAAUUUAGGCUUUAAAUGGACAGAGGGACUUUAACACCUGAGAUGCCCUCCAAACCAGCUCAUCUACCCCAGAGCCUGAGCAGCUCAGACCAGGAUACAAGAUACGUGAAUGUAUCUUUAGUGUAUGACUGUAUGUCUUUAGUGAAUGCACAGAAUAAGCCUCUUUUUUUGUCCUCUCCAGUAUUUUAUUCAAGCUAACGUCUAAUUAGAACUGCGAUUUUGGUGUGCUCUUUGCUGCUGCUAUGACAAUUCCUAAAAGCAUUCUGUGAACAUCAAUUGUGUGAUAGUUCUGCAGAGAGCUCUGCAGCUACUGAAGGAGAAGAGAGGGACAACAUGAGCUCUGUUUUAUUAUUGCACAGUACAGAUAAUGAUACACUAACCAUAUCAAAAGGAGCUUUGUAAUUAUUGGCUCAGGAGCUCUUGUGGUUAUUUUACAUUUAACCCACAUACCAAUUUGGUGUGUGCUGGCACAUGGUGGCCAUAUGGAGGGCAGAAAGCAUUACUGCCUACCACAGGAGAACAUAAUCUGGAGAGCGGAGGCAUUUCCAUGUGCUGAACAAAGUUCCACCCACAUCAUAAAUCGGUCAUUCUGCCACAUCAUAAGCUGCAGGGGGAAAAAAAAAUCACAUAAAUCUUUACAGAGACUCUACAAGACUUCAGUCAGAGACUGUCUUCUGUGCAGCCCAUGAAUGCACAGCUGACGCUUUAUAAUAACAAGCAAUAGUCAUAUAUCUGCUACCAAUGCAUUUUGUCACGUAAUACUGCUAUAUAUUUUUGGAGCAGUGUUGAAAAGCACACAGACUACUUCCCUCCUAUGAAAAAUGUUAAUUAGACAAAUUAUCACCUGAUUAAUAUGGGCAAAAAAACCCAUGGAAAUUUAUGAUGAAGAUCCAGGGUGACUAUUUCUAAUCACAUCUUUUCACAUAUUGUCUUUGGGAAUCAAAGUUUUAAAAUGGCUGAAGAAAUUUUAUAUACAUAUAUUUUAUAUAAUACAAAAAUUUGUGUUGAUUUUUAUAUAUUAUUGCACAUAAAAAUAUUUCUCUGGAUGAAACACCCUUGCCUGUCCACCUCCAUAAAUAUGUAUUUAUUUAUGUAUGUGUGUAUGCUCCUCUGGUGCUGUGUUUGUUGGGAAGGGGUGCUGUAGAACUUUCGUUCAGGUCCUACAUGUUUACUAAUAUUUUGGGCAAGUUUUAUUAUUCCUUUUCCGAAUAGAAACUGAAAAGAAGACCAAAAAAAUUAAUUUGAAACUAAAUUAUAAUCUGUCUUGCUGGUCCUGUACUGCAGUAUAGGAUAAACAGCAAGGGAACUUAAACACAUGGAAGAGGGGAUUUUGUUUGCAUUGCCUAGACAAAUAUUUUUUAGUAGUAUAAAAAUAGGUGGAACAGGAAGAUAGGCAGGACCAAUGUAGAAGAAAAGCAUGUUUGUGCCCAAUUCACCGGAGAGAUUGUCAAAGAACAUUUUAUCAUAAUGAAAAUAUUACCCUUGGAAUGCCAGCAUGAGCAAUGUCAAUUCAAUUUGCCUGCUCUUUUUGCUUCUAGUCACCAAAGUUAGACUUGUCCUAGAGUUAUUGUGACUAGAUGAUUUUUUUUUUUAUUUCAGAAAAUGUUCUCUUUCAUUCACGAAUCAAUAGCUCUUUGCUAGUCCUGGCUUUGCUGCUUGUACUUCUCUGUCAGCCCUUGCUAAGGGCUGUUGCUAAGGGCCAGAGGAAGUGUCUUGUUGAAUUCUGCUGAGAAAUUGGGGAGGAAAAGCACAUUUCUGUGAGGUGCAAAUGAAGCACUUAGCCCACUGCUGUCCUGCAACAUAGGAAAUAUGAUUCUAGCUGGAACAAGCUGCUCAUGAUUAGGAUCCCCCUGUGUUUCAGAAUUUUGACAGGCUAUUCCUAAUCUCAUAAAAUUAGAAGUGUGCCUUGGUGGGAUCUAAAGAGCAAUAUUUUUCUUAGAGUAAGGGACUCCAAGAAACCUGUUUCAAAAGGAAACUUUUAUAAAGGUGGCUUCCUUCACUUGAUGAAAUUAACAUAAAUUUUUCUGUGGAUUUCAAAGAGAAAAAAAAAAACCUUUAGUCAAAGAGUUUCUAGUGCCUUUAUUUGAAAGCAGCUGGGUGGGGCAUAUAUAAAUUUUCUAAAAGUUUUAUAGAUAACAAACUAAUAAGCCUAGUGAAAUUCUUCAUUUAAUGAUACGGAAUUUAGCUAGAGGGAACAGAAACAUCCAGACCGAUGAAAUAUGCCUCAUUUACUUUCUGAUGUAUUUAAUUUUAAAUAAAUAUUCAGAAUAUUUAUUUUAAUACAUUUCAUGAUGUCUUGUACAGCAAGCUUUGACAAAAUCACAUCGUUUUCAAAAAGUGAUACACUCAUAUCGUGACUUGCUGUGCCUAGCAAGUCCUGCACAGCAACUACACCACUCUUUCAAGUGACUCUAUUAAUAUCUGAUGACUGCAUCAAUUAGUAGUUUUACUGCAGAGUUACCCUCCAGCCUGGAAGAAAUGCAAUUCUUUGGGAAAUUGCAUGCAGGGGAACCUGCACUAUCCAGGUUUUUCAGGCACGUGAGCUUGGGAUCUAAGAGCCUGCUCCAUCGAGGUCACAUGAGCAUUGAUAAAGAGCCACAGUCAGGGUUGUGUGAUCAACAUGAACAAGAAUACACAAUCCAGUUGCGUCAGGCAAGCCCAUGUGGUUGCAUCUCUUCCACCCUACCCAAAGGCUGAAGGUUUUUAGUGUCUGCCUGCUGCCUGCAGGUUACAGUGCUAAUGAGGCUGUCUUGUGUCCUCUGAACAAUCUGUGCUGGAGUUGGAAUAUGUUUCCUGUCGUUCAUCAGAAGAACUGGCAAGCAAGCAAGGCUGACAGAUGUAGUUCAGACUUGUGAGGAUUUCCUGUUGCAAAAGUUUGGCAUUCACUGACAUUUCCUGGUGGUGUAGAAAAGCCAGAAGAGUAAUGGGUUGUUGUAAUGGUUUGGCCUGAAGAUUCUUCCUGUGGACCUAAGUGGAUGGUGAUUUGAAUUAUAUGUCCUGCAAGAUCUGGACGGAACAAGGAUACCUUCCCUGCUUUAGAAUAAGGAAGAAGUGAAAGAGGGAACCUUUGAACUGUAUUCUUCAGAAAUUCCCAGGAGGUGUGAUGAGUGCACUUCUUCCAAGACUGCUAAUGAAAAGCCACAGUGUUCUGGAGGAGGUACAGAUGGCUUCUGAAGGAUGGUUGUAUGAUGCUUCAUUCAGUGGGAUUCCGACUCAUCAUACCCAGCCUGCUACCUCAGAGACAGGAGCUGAUGUUUCAAAUGUGAUCGUGGAGCUGAGUACCUUCUGGAGCAGUCACGCUGCAUCUUGGAUGAAAACCAAUGCUGCUGAGCGUUCAGCACUGCGACAGUCUCCAAGGGAGCUGGAAAUGUAUGACCCAGGAAGACCCACAGCUCCAGAAUUCACCGGGAAGCAUAGCAUCUCUUUCAUCCCAAGCUAGCUAAAACCUUUUCAUUAGAGCUGGUUUUUCCUAAUCAAGUACCUCUGUGUCAAAAGAUUGUUUGAGAAUUUGUGAUUUAUGUGUUUAAAGAGACUGAAGAAAGGGGCCUUCUGCUAAACUUCUGUUUCUUUACCCUGCAUAACCAUGCCUUCCCAAAUUUAUGCUUUGAUGUAGAUAAUAGAAAUUAAAUAAAAGUGGUAGAGAUGUUAUAAUUUUUAAUGUUCACUGGAUAUUAUUUUUAUGCUUGUUCCUGUGCUCAAGACCCAAAAAGUUAAGGAAAAACUAAAAAAAAAAAAGAAGGGAUUUGCCAGGCAAAUGGUAUGGAGGAGGAUAAGAAAAACUGUCGCACAACACAACUGUCACAUAUGUUUUUUCCACCACCCUCUAUCUUCUUUGGUUGUUCAGUAUGUAAGAAUAGUUUUCAUUUCCCAAAUGGUUACAGAACCUCCCUACAAGACUAGUAUCUGCAAAUGAUGUUACUUUCAUCCAGAGAAAAUGUGUGUGCAGGCUGGAUGGGGUUAUGUUUUUUAAUGUUCUUUGCACUCUCAACUAGUGUGCAGCUGCAAGUUGCAUUACCAGCAUUUAUUCAUUAAAUUUUGCCACACGAAUUCCUUUCUCAGCCUUGCUCACCAGUAGAGAUUUGCUAGGAGCUUGAGGUUGGGUAUCAGGACAAGGUUCUGCAGAGGGUGGUUGGGCAGUGGAACAGGCUCCCCGUGGAAAUGGUCACCAGCCGGUCAACCCAGCCUGACGAAGUUCAAGAAGCAUUAGGGCAAUGCUCUCAGACCAGUGGUGUGAUUCAUGGGAUGUCCUGUCCAGGACCAGGAGUUGUACUCCAUGAUCUUUGUGGGUCCCUUCCAACUCGGGGUGUUCAAUGAUUCUGUAAGAAAAUGUAGCACUCAAACACUGAGACCACAGGAGAAAUGGCACUGAUGGUGCAUGCCUGCACAGCUUUCACCACAGGAAUACCCUAUGCCAGUGCUUUCCCAUCACUGUGAAAGCAACUGGUUUAUAUUGAACUGCCAAUGGAAUGUAGGGCAGAUGGAAGUAGUAGAUAACUUCAUGAUGAUCCCAGCCAUUUCUGCAAGUAACAUUUGAUUACAGCCUGCCUGCAUAGCUCUUAUUCCCGUUAUUUACCUUCUUUUCCCAUUGCAGCCAGAAGAUAGUUAAGUGCCUUUUUAGGGCAGGUUUGAAUUCAGUGAGACUAUUUACACAAGCAGCUGUUGGCCAGUUUGAGCUGUAUGACCUUGGUUCCCAUUUCUAGGACACACUGCUCAAGACACUCGGGCCUGUUACGUCAGUAACCUCUUGAUUGCUCCUUCUCAGUCCUGGUCCUGCAGACUCGGCUGACAAACUUCAGCACAAUCCCCACUGAAAUUUUUAUAAACGGAAUAAAUGGUGGCUUGUGAAUGGAUGGUAGAGAAUUUGGUUGUUUAUUUAUCUCUGGCUGAUUUCCUUCUAUCAGAGAUUUCUACUGCUCUAAAAAUGAAAGGUUAAAUGCCUUCAAGUCUUUGUCCUAGAUAUUGCCAUGCCACUGUGUUUGAACUCAACAGAGAAUCAUAUGGGUAUGCCUUUGUAAAUGCCAUUCCUAUAAUUUUCCCUUGCAUGAUUGUUUUCUGAAAGACUGAAAAGUAAAGCUUGGUGGGAAUUUUCCCACAGUGUAUUUGUUUGUAUGCAAAAAUGCUGACUUGAUGAAAUGGAACCUUUCUGUGGAAAAUAUUUGUUCCAGCAAGAAGGCUUCUCAGAUUCAGAAGUGAAUUUCUGGAAGGAAAAAAAAAAAAAAGAGAGAGAGAAGGAAAAACUUUCCAUUCUUUUCCUCAAAGUAGAUGGCUGCUUAGUGCUCAGGCGUUCCCUGGAGGAAAUGGGCAAGAGAGGUUCAAACCCCACCUAUUCAGUGUGUUAAUCUCUUUCUGGGCCAGCUAUGCAAUGUUGAACAUCGUCAAACUGGGAAAAAGGGAGUAUUCUUACUGACUUAUGUCUUUUUAUGCCUGUUUGGCUUUUUUUUUUUUUUUUUCAGAAAGGUUCUAAUUUUAUUUUAAUGCUCAACAAAAGCAUAUUUUGGAAUGACCAUUGUUUUCCAAAAUACUAAAGUUUUGCAGAUAGUGUUACACUAACCCCGCAGUGAUCGCCUUGCAGAUCCAUUUAUAAAUUCUUUAAAAUGUGGAUGACAGAGUCACUCCAUUUGGGAUCUAUAAUGUAAAUGGAGCCCUUCUGACUCUUUGUAGGUUUUUUAGGAGACAUUCAGGGUUUGAUUCUGCACAUUUCUAACAUAUAAGCUGUUAUGAGCUUUAGCUACUUAACUAAUGGAGUUAUUCAUACACUUGAUGCCAGCACAUUAUGAAUUGAUAACACUUUUAUUAAAGUCAAUCGAAAGACUUCUACUGGCCUCAAAGGAAAGUUCAUUACAUUAUGUCCUUGUAUCUUCAAGUUUUAUUUUGAUGCUUGAUCUUGUUUUAUUUUAGAAAUGUUCAGGCUCUAUUAAAACUAUAUUUAUAUCAGUUAUGCAUCUCUACAGUUUCAGAAAGAAGUAUCUACUUUGUCUAUUCUUUAGGGAGAGAAUAGGAAUUCAGGAAACCUGGAUUCUUCUCUGACUUACUGCUGACUUAGACUAUCUAUCAUUAUUUAUUAACUUUAACAAUUAUUUUAUUAUUUCAAUAUGCAAGGAAAUUUAAGCACUAGGAAAUAAAACAUUCAGUAAAAUAUUGCAUUAUAAUACUCAUAACCUUAAUUUACUCAAUGGCAAUUUCACAAUUAGGACAUUAUAAUGCAGUCUUAAUGCACAUUUAUUAUAGUAAUGAAGACCAGAAUUACACAGAUAUAACACAAAUCAUAUUUAAUCAAGAGCAAUCUCAGAUAAUAACCAACUAAGAAUUAGAAUUAUAUGGCACUGAGUUUCUUUGUAUCAUUUUUCUUCUAUCAAUA